rnacentral:rRNA from 1 species
UACGGAGGGGACUAGCGUUGUUCGGAAUUACUGGGCGUAAAGCGCACGUAGGCGGAUUUGUAAGUUAGGGGUGAAAUCCCGGGGCUCAACCUCGGAACUGCCCUUGAUACUGCAAAUCUCGAGUCCGGAAGAGGUGAGUGGAAUUCCUAGUGUAGAGGUGAAAUUCGUAGAUAUUAGGAAGAACACCAGUGGCGAAGGCGGCUCACUGGUCCGGUACUGACGCUGAGGUGCGAAAGCGUGGGGAGCAAACAGG